GAACUAAUGUGGCGAGACUCUCAAUAUACUGUAUAUCUGCAUAUGUUAUAUUUACUUCUAUUAUGCUUCAUUGCUGCAAUCUCUUCCCCCCCUCUAGUUGUCAAGCCAAAGAGGAUGAUGCUACAAACAUACCAAAGGGACAGCAGCAGGGAACAUCCACUUCUUGGCAUGCAGCACCUCGUUGAAUGCAUUUGUGUCGGGCCGACAGAGAAGAGAUACUACCUCUGCACGCUCUGCAAGCUAACUUUGGCUACCAACGCAAUCAUCCAACAUGUCCUGAGCUUUGACCACAUCUUUUGUUACUUUAGAGCGUGGCACCCGUCAACUCUGCUGUCGAAGGAAUCCUACAGGUUUUACACCAAAUCCUUUGCCUCCAUGAUGCUUGAUUUUGCAAAGCAGGCAGAGGAAAUCCACAGUACUGCAAACAAUGACAUGAAGCAAGUUAGUCUGGAGCCUGCCAAAUUCACAUCAGUGAAUUUCACUUGUUAUAGAGAAGCUUUUAAGGAACUGGAAUCCAUCAGGAAGGAAAACCAGGAGAGCAGCUUGAUGACAAUCGUCAAACAAGGGAACAAGCUGGGUAUGUAUUAUGGGGAUGAUUUAUUCAUCACUUCUUUCACGACUACUAUUGAAAGUGUUUUUAAAACACUCAAUUAUUUUGUUUUUCUUUGUA
rnacentral:lncRNA from 1 species